UGCUUUGAUAGCAGAUUAUGUGUAUAUGCUAAGGCUGCAAAAGCCAGAAGUUGAGGCAGAGGGUGAUGUACUGAUGAAGAUGAGUCGGAGAUUCAGUCUGCUUAACCAGAGCUGCUGAAAGCCCCUGUUAUUUACGCUUCUGGGGACAAACUUCUGACCAGGGCAGGACGCGGGGCCGCGACAGGGGCCUGCCCUGCUGACUUCUCUGCGCCGGGUCUCUAGGGGCUGUCCGAGGCUUGCAGCGGGGGACGCGGGAGCAACCAGCUGGCAGUAAAGAGAAACGGCACCGUCCGAACUCUCUCUACCGCUGAUGACAAAAGGCAUUGCAAUAUCACUAAAAAAUGUAAUCUUCGUGGAUAUUUUGGGAUUUUUUUUUUUUCAAGCACUCUGAAGUCAUAUAUCCCUUUUAUAGAGAAGAAAGCCGCAGCCCAGGAAACAUUGCUCAGCCGUGGAGUAUAGACAGCGUGGUGGGAGCAACGCUUGUCUGUUUGGACUGGUUUGGACGGAGAAGGAGGUAAAGGGAGCGAGAGCCGCAAGUGUGCGAGUGCAGUUCUGCGCCGUUCCUCGCCCCACGCCCGGGACGCCGCUCUCCGGCCUCCUGUCACCCACCAAACGCUGCCUCCUGCCCGUUUUGUGAGCAGCACCCGUUCCUGCCGCCGGGAACCGUGCCCGCUGCCCACAGAGCUUGCCAGCAGGGAGAGCGGGAGGAGAUGGGGUCCCCAGGCGUAAGGCAAAAAAAAAAAAAGACCAUUUUGAUGUACAAGGUAACGACCCCCGCUGAGACUCCAGCAAGUCUGGAGCCGUGCUUCAAGGGGGAAGGUUUAAAGCAGUGUGGUGGUAUUAAAGAAUGUUUAGUUGAGACAAAAACACCCAUUGCUUGGUGCUCUGUAUAGGUGAAAAUUGCAAGUCUGGCCGGAGUUAUGGGAAUAUGUGCGUUAAAGUUAGUUUAUUUGCUUCCUUCAUGUUUGUGUGGACUCUUCCCCAGCACUAGUUUCUCUCUGUUUUGGACUUGUGUUUGUACCAUGGUAAUUUUCUGGGAAAUGAAUUUUCUCUGCUGGAAGCGAAGUUUCUUGUUCCUGUACUAUUUCCCCGCUGAGGCAGCAAUACCUUUUUCUGCAGAAAGCGCUUGAGGAGCACAAACCGUGUGUUUGGGUAUCAAGGCGGUCGGCAUAUUGAAUUAAGACCACAAGACACUGAUUUUCUUGACCUCUGGUGUGACUCUUCCCCCUGCACCGUCCCAUUUCCCCAUCCACAAAAUGGAAAUACAGUAUGUUUGGGCUCUGCCUGCACUCACUGCUGAUGGAGGUCCCGCAAGGUCUUGCGGUUGGCCUGGGGAUGCAGCUGGGUGGUGAUGGGCACUGCUCCCCCUUGCCCGCGCUCCUGCGCUUCUGCCCAGGGGGUUGUCUUACCCCGAGAUCUGCAGGGGCAGCUUGAAUAAGUACACAGGUAUGCUCCUAUGUAGUCUCAAGGACUACGGUAGUGCCAGUUGCUGUAGAAAUGCUGGGUUUAACCAGAUUGUUACGAGUAACUGAUGUUCUUUCCUCUGUGUUUAGGAUGGAAUUGCUGCCCUGGAUGGUCACAGGGACCCCGGUCCUGGUAUUUAUUUUGAAACUAUCCUCACUGGUUUUUGUGAAUUUUAUAACUCAACAUAUGUUGCCUGGCCCAGAAGAACUGGAUUUAUCAAGGCCUUUGCUUCAUCAUCCAAUACAUGCUAGUCUGUUGGUUUGCACCUGCUUGCAAUUUAUCAAAGUCUCUUUUAAAUGAAGGGGCAGGUGUGAAAGGCAGAAGCUAUUUCGCACCUCUGGGAUAAUCGGAGGUGUCAGACACUUAACGAUAACGUAUACUUCCCGUUGCUCAGUGCGAUUUUCAGCGCAAGCUAACAGUGCGAGGGCAAUUUUCUGGAAUGAGUUGAAAACGUAUGAAGUUGCUCAGUGCUUUUUUUCAGUCUGAGCAGCAAGUCCAAUGGCUGGACACGAAUUGGGUACGAGGACUUAAGAGCAUUGCUACCCCAUAUUCUUGUAUUUCCCACAAUCCAGGUCAGUAAUGUUUAUGCUUGCCCAUCCCUCAGUCUGUGAUUCCGCUGGGCAUGUUCCUGGUGGAGGUGGGUGGGCCAGCAUGGGGGCCUGGGAGCAUUGCCUGAAGCUCACAGCUGGGCUACUGAAUGCUGUGCCCUUUAUAGUAAGAGGAAAGGGUGGAAAUCCAGCAGUCUUCCAUAAUCAGAAAUCUUGUAAAACCAGAAAUGCACCUUUGAAGUUCACAGAAUCGUAGAAAACCAGGUCGAAAGGGACCUCAAGGAUCACCUGGUCCAACCUUUCUUGCACCCUGUCCAGCCAAAUCUUAGAAGUGCCCGAUAUUGGGGAACCCACCACUUCCCUGGGGAGGUUAUUCCAGUGGCUGAUUGUUCCCAUUGUAAAAAACUUUCCUCUUGU